GUGCUCAAUUUGGCGCACAUAUAUUCAAAUUGGAUGGGACAAAGAAGAAUAGUAUGGCCCCUGUGCAAGAAUGACAUGUGAACUCACGAAGCAUUAAAAAAAUAA
ensembl:snRNA U6 U6 spliceosomal RNA